ACCCAAUUUAAUUUGCUAGGGUUUUCUCGUUGAACCCAGAAGAGGGAAAAACAAAUAAAAAACAGCCCUCUUAUGCAUUGUGUCGCGAUGAAUUCGUCAAUCCACGUACGUCGUCGAAGCAUGUGUUCUUAAUUCUUCUUUUUCGCAGAAUCGUGAGAGAGAUCAUUUUAGAGAGAAAGUGAAAGGAGAGAGAUUUCAUUAUCAUCGUCUAUUUUGCCACGACCUCCACCUCUGCAUGCUGAAGCUAAUUCCAUCUUUACCUGGGUCUCUUUGAACAGACCACACUCAUGAAUCUCGGGCUCCAUAUCAAGCUUCCGUAGCCAUGGGGUUUGAUUCCGAGAAGCAAUCGAUUCUUCUGCUGGACAGGUUUCACACUUCUUGUUACACAUCCUCUUUUAUUAUUUUGAUUCCCCUUCCUUGUUUGAUUUCUGCUCGCGAGCUGGGUUUUGUUUGUUCGAUUCUUCUCCCGAUCGAUUUAAGGGCUUGAAAGAGUUUUGAAUGCAGUAGAUAGGUUAGGGUUUGGCUUUGAGUGGGAAAAUAAUUGUGGAUGUUUCUGUAAUGUGUGGAAGUUGCGAAACUAGGAUUUUAUAUUCAAACAUAAAAUUAAAUAAUGUUUUAUACGAUUUUUCCAACAGCACAAACAUCCAAAUGAUUUAGUAUCUGAGUGGUAACUAUACUCUUACUUUAGUCUUUAUUUCUGCUCCAUGGAUUCAUCCAACUUUACUUUUUAUUGUUUCGUUACUUCUCUACAAGGAGCUCCUAAUUUGGACGUUGAUUAAAGUUCAAGGUACUGCCGUUGGACUACCCAUCGAAUAUGAUAUGGGAAACAAUUUAGCUUAAAUUGCAGACUUGACAUCUAUUUGGACUUUUUUGUGCCACUCUUUCAUCUCUUUAACCAGUCUUAAAUCGAUCAGCAUCUGAAAUUACUUAUUUCCCACAUUUUGAUUUUUGAUAACGUAUGGUUUUGAGUCAUAGAUGUUGAUUCUGAUUCACCAGAUUGAUAGCUUCAUAUGUUUUGGGAUUCUCGCCAUAUGUGGAUCUACUGUCUGCAGAAAUUUCUGCUAAAAGAACAUAAGAAAUGGAGGAUUCCAUUUGUUGAUAAGAUUUCAUUUAAAUCAGCAUAUCCAUGUGAGCAUAACUAAAUGCACAUAAAAAAUGGAGGAAAAGAAAGAACAUAAUUUGUUGAUAAGAUUCCAUUUAAAUCAUUAUGUCCAUGUGAGCAUAAUUAAAUGGACAAAAGAAAGUUGCAUGAACGAAUUUUAUUUCAGAUGAAUAGGCCUGAAUUUGGCAAUCUGAUUAAUGAAAGCUGCUCUUAUCAAAGAUGGAUGAUGUUUGUAGUGGUAGAUUUGAAGGAAAAAACAAAUUAUGGUACAAAUGAUAGAGCGUCAACGCAAAUCUUCUUGUCGGCUAUCUUCGGUUUUUUAGUGAAUCAUUAUAACAGUUCCAAAGGAUGUAGUCUCCCGCAAACGAGAACAUGCGGAUAUCACUUCGUCUUGUCGACUAUAAUCGGGGUUUCAGUGUAUAAUUUCAGUACCUUCAAAUGAUAUGAGUCCACGCAAGUGCGAACAUGUGGAUCUCUCUCCCCUUACUAGAGGUUUUCUGGUUUUCAGGUUUUCAGUGUAUAAUUUUAGCAUUAACGAUUGUCCAUAUAUAUUGUACUAUAUAUAUUGUACUAUAUGAACACUAUCAACGAACAUAAACAACACUUGUUUUAGGCACUUUUUUCUUGUCGUUGAUUUUAUUCUACUUUUGUAUACAUAUAUUUAUCCAAUUGUACUUGCAUGGAUGCUAUCAAGCCUUAUCUACCAUCGAGAACUAAAGACCAAGAGUUAUACAAGAACCAUUGUUUCAGAUUUAUAUUAUGAAAUUGACC
rnacentral:lncRNA from 1 species